rfam:Candidatus Kaiserbacteria bacterium RIFCSPLOWO2_01_FTLL_50_24 rifcsplowo2_01_scaffold_8281, whole genome shotgun sequence.
CACGAGUAACCGCAAGGCAAGUGAGAUUCUUGCCCGCCGAAAGAACAAGGUUUCCUUCGCAAUGGAGAUCAUCGAAGGGUUAGUCGGUCCUAAGCCAAUGGCGAAUGCCGCAGGCGAUGGAUACACGGUUAAUAUUCCGUGACUUGUGUGUAGAGUGAUGGAGGGACGGAGUGUAGUAACACAGGCCCGUUAUUGGAUUCGGGUCCAUGUUGUGAGUGUGUCGUAUAGGUAAAUCCGUACGAUAAAUGCAAGCAAUGUGGAAAACUGGAGAUUCGUCGAAAGGAAUCUGUGCGAGCACGCUUCCAAGAAAAACUUCUAAACUUAUCUGCAUACAAUCCGUACCGCAAACCGACACAGGUGUUCAGGGCGAGUAGCCCAAGGCGAACGGGUGAGAGAUCCUCAAGGAACUCGGCAAAAAAGCGGGCGUACGUUCGCAAUAAGCCCUGCCAUUCGUAAGAAUGGCUGCAAAUAAUUAUUCCCAGGCGACUGUUUACCAAAAACACAGCUCCCUGCGAACUCGUAAGAGGAUGUAUAGGGGGUGAUGCCUGACCAAUGCCGGAAGGUCAAAUGUGGAGGGUGUGUGCUCGCAAGAGCAUAUGCUGGACUACAUAAGCCCCGGUCAAUGUCGGCGAUAACUAUAAGAUGAUUGUAGUUAUAAAAUUCAGCUAUAUGUUCCCGAUUUACCCAAACGCUUUGCGUUUGGUUGCAAACCGCAAUCCCUUCGGCCUUUGCGCUGUGUGGAAAAGAGAAAUCGGGAAACUGCUGGUCACGUCAUGUCGAUGUAAAAGUCGGAAUGAUGGAAGGCCGGUGGGACUGGAAACUCCGAGUAUCCAACGGUACCGCAAGGUGACAAUCCGUUGGUGCGGACAAUCAGCAGGGAAGAUUCACGAAAAUGAAAACCCUCAGAGACUAUACGCUGAACUCGCUUCUCUUAAUUGAGAAAAGCGAGAUGAUAUAGUCCGGCCUCUAUGGCGACAUAGAGAAUUACGUGUAGCUACUGUUUUCGCACGUAGAUUAACAUAGGCAAAUCGUCCUAAGGUUUCGCGUUUCUCGAAAGAGGAGCGCGGAAGGACUAGGACUAUUUGUACUGUGGGCCAUUCAGAACGCUGCCUAUCCGUGAGAACGGAUGUCCAUAAAUAUCUGACUAUAUGCUGGAAACUCCGAGUAUCUUUAAGUACUCGUCCGAAAGGGCAGUGAAAAUCUUGAAGUGCGGACAAUCAGCAGGAAAGACUCACAAAAUCACGUGCUAUAAUUGGACGUAUGAACACACCGCCAAGUAUUGGAUGGUAUUUGUCUGGAUUCAGCGAUGGUGAGGGAAGCUUUAAUGUUUCUCUCCGCCAAAGACCGGAUCACAAACUACAGUGGCAAGUGGUGCUUACGUUCAAUGUAGCCCAAAGAGAUGUCACCAAUCUUCUGCUUCUGCAGGAACAUCUGCAGUGUGGCAGGUUACAAAGACGAAGUGAUGGAGUCCAUUACUUUGUCGUGACGAAUUACGUCGAAAUCGUAGAAAAGGUGUUUCCGUUUUUCGAACGGUUUCCCUUUCAAUCCGAAUCUAAAACCAAAAACUUUGCGUUGUUCAAGCAAAUCGCGGCUAUCGUAUAUUCCGGAGAGCAUCUAGCUCGUAAGGGGUUUAUGAGAAUCAUUGAAUUGCGAGAAAAACUCAACGAAGGGAGAGGAAGGAAACGGAAAUACGAAAAACAAGAUGUAGUCGAAGAUUUUGAGAGAAUCCUCAGAAACCAAACGUCAGACAAGCAGAAACUUUCUGCCUGAAGAUAGAGUUCGGGCCCUGUAGCGAUAUGGGGAAGGAGACCCUAGCGAAAUUCCUUGUCCAGUAAGUUUGGACGCGCACGAAUGGUAUAACGACUUGGGAACUGUCUCGAGGAUUUGCCCGGUGAAAAUACAAGGUCGGUGAAGAUGCCGACUUCCUGCAGCUAGACGAAAAGACCCCAGAAGCUUUACUGUAAUUUGGUAUUGUGGAUACGAUUUUUCUGCGUAGCGUAAGAGGGAGACUUUGAAGCGACGACCUCGGUUGUCGUGGAGUCGCCAAUGCAACACCUCUCUUAAAAAUUGUGUUUACUAACCUCUGCGGCAAAACCGUAGAGAGACAGUACCUGAUGGACAGUUUCGGUGGGGCGCUGUCCUUAACAUUAGGGAUUAGGUUUUAGGGUAUAGGGUUUAGUAAAUCCAACUAGAAUCUGAUUCCGGCGCCUAUGGCUGUUAUCCGCAGUCAGAAAAAUAAAAGGGGGACCUGUGCGAGUAAUCGUGCAGAGCAAAAUUGGCUAUAUCGGUGAAUAUCUCUCGCAAGAGAGACAAUACCUAGGGAAGUCGUAUCAAUUUUGAAUGACGAAUUUUUAAUUUCGAUUCAAUGUUUUAAACAUUUGAAUUUCGAAAUUGAUUCAAAAUUCGGAAAUCAGAAUUCAAAAUUCGUAUUGACCCCGUAGAGACUACACGCCAAUCAACCGCAUCGCGGUUGGUAAUAUAGUCCGAACUCCAUGGCGACAUGGAGAGGCAGGCAGAAAUGACCUGUCCAUGUUACAUUGCACUUAUUACUGCGACUGUCUGCGUACAGUCUGCGUGAAUCUGCGCUUUGUACGAAGUAACAAAGAGCCUAAAAAGUAUCGGAGGAGCCUAUUAUGGUCAGCUAGGCGCGAAUGGAAACCGUGCCGAUAGUGCAUUGGCAAAAGCUGGCUUGACUGCGAGGCGUACGUGCCGAGCAGGUACGAAAGUAGAGCAAAGUGAACCGCUGGUCCGCAUUAGACGCGGCCAAAGAUUAACGGAUAAAAGUUACUCUGGGGAUAACAGGCUGGUUUCGCCUAAGAGUCCAAAUCGACGGCGAAGUUCGGCACCUCGAUGUCGGCUCAUCUUAGCGCGGAGGUGGAGAAGCUUCCAAGCGUAUGGCUGUUCGCCAUUUAAAAAGGUACGUGAGCUGGGUUAGACGGAAGUUGGGCCCAGUGAUCCAUAGCAUCGAGAGAAACGUAGCAUGACCAA